rnacentral:lncRNA from 1 species
AAUCAUUCUGUCGAUACCUAUUGACAAAGCAUAUACCACACUGAUAGAUUAACCAUUGCACUGACUUCACAAAAUAAAAAUGUCGUAUAUGCAACACUUGAAAAGUAAUUUUUUCUGGAUGCAAUUGCUCUUGUUUCUUCAUAGCAUCAAUGUUUGGGUCAAAAUAAGUGGUUGUCUCGUUCCUUCGUACCACCUUCAACAUAAUCAUCUUCAAGGACUUCUCUCAAGAAAACAACUUCUCCAGGGACAUCAAGCAUGACAUCUUCUUCCUGAUCUAAAAGAAAAACUUUAUUGACAACAAUUAAAGACUUUGUGGCCAUGAUAUGUAAAUGCCUAUGUUUUGCGCUGAUGAUUUAUUAUGCACUCGUAUAAACUAGAAUCAGCAGCGCCCGAAGAUAAUUUAUGUAUUUACUUCAUUCGGCGUCCAGACAUAUGUGUUUUCGCCGCGUGUGUCCUGACCUAUUUAGUGAGUCAAAACCACAAACAGAUGCAAAUCUUCCUUCAAGAAGAAGAAAAAAUAAAACCAAACCCGGCAUGUGUAUGUGAUUCAGAGAAGGCGACUGAUAGGCGCCGGUCGACCGGCCGAAAGCCUGCGCCGGUCACCUACCGGCCGUUCGAUUCACCCCAUCCCGCACCGUUGAUUUUCCUUCUUCUCCUUUCUCAGCCUGGUCAACGCAUCCCUUCCCUACACCAGCUAGUCAACGCGCAGCUCUUACAUCGGGGGCUCCUCGUGAGGCACGGCGGCCGCAUUCAUCGGCGUCGAGCCAGUCGCCCUUCGGAAGCACCCACAUUUCUGUAGCUUCUCGCUUGCCACUGUCGGCUGCAACAUAGGGCGUAGUCACCACCGCCCGCCAAUCCAGCAAAAAAUGGCCGGUUCAUCCCCGCCGUCGCCGCCAACACACCGGCCGUCGAGCAGAUGCAGCAUCACGCGUCGCCGCCGCAUCACGGCUCACAUACCCCCUCUCGUCGGGCUGCAGGAAACCAAGGCGCAGGUCCUAGCAUCCUUGCCGCGCCCGCCGCCUCCGUUGUAGCUCCUGGAGUUGCUGGUGUUGGUAUUGAUCUAGAGGCCCAAUGGGCCAAAAUAAAAAUAAAAGACCAGAAAUAAAGUUACGUUAAAGAGAGAAACAGGGAGGCCACGAACCAACGUUCGUACCCCUCGAUCUCAACUUACGCGCCCUAAUCGGGGGCACCCUAACCAACUAUGGUUUUGGUCCCCUGUCGCCAGCGCACAUAAAAAGAUGGGGGAGCAGCCGGCACCUACGUCAGACUAGUUCUCGUACGGUUUACUCCUACUCCCCACAUCCCUAAACCCUAACCGAUCUGGGGGAGCGUUGCAUGACGGGAAGAUCAUCUCCAAGCUCUGCCCCUGUCCCUGGGCAGUGCCGGUGGCGCCCGGAGGGACGCCUCUACCUGCAGCGAGCAUCUUCACCGAGCCUGCAUCAAGCCUGCAUCGAGCAGGCACGGGACUUCGCACCGUCGACACCAAUGGCUGCUUCCAUUGGUGGUAAGAACCUAAUCCAUCUCUCUGAUCUGUGCUAUUAGGUGAUCUAACGCCUGGCUUACGAUCUGUUAAGUAUAUCCUACGGGAUGAUAAGUUUAACAAUGGUAUCUUGAGCAUGGUUAAGCCUAGAUUAGAUCCCUAAGAUGAUCUGCUUAAGUUUGAUGAUCCUGAUUACGUACUAAUGAUUAAGGUUUAAGUCUAAUGGUUCAUGAAUAAGGUUAGAUUGCCCUCUGUUGAAGUUGAUGUUUGAUCUCUAGGGUUAUGUGUUUCGGUCAAAGUCUCAUUUGGCUAUGGGUCAGUGCUAAUUAUCCAGUGAUUAUGAUAAAUCAUGUUCUGCUAGUUUGAUUUGCCACGUUUCCGCAUCAAUAUUGUUAAUUAGCACUGGUUUUAGUUCCUGUUAGCAAUUAGAACAUGAUGAAUUGGCUAAGUUAAAGUCAGCCGAACCCUAACUCUAGAAAAUCCCCAAAUUUGAAACCCUAGUUUUCCUUUUGUGAAAUCCUCCAUUGGUGAGUCCAAAUGAUGAAUGAAAUUGGAAGAAGAGAAAAGAUGACGGGCACACCCAGAUGACGCCGG